GCCGGGUGUGGUGGCGGGCACCUGUAAUCCCAGCUACUUGGGAGGCUGAGGCAGGAGAAUCACUUGAACCCGGGAGGCAGAGGUUGCAGUGAGUCAAGAUCGCGCCACUGCACUCCAGCCCGGGUGACAGUGCAAGACUCUGUCUCAU
ensembl:misc_RNA Metazoa_SRP Metazoan signal recognition particle RNA